UAGCUGAGAACUUCUCAUUGGCUCUCUGGGGCCUGGCCAAACUAUCCUGAUUUGCCUGGGGAGUGGAGCUGUCCUUCCCCACAUGAGCCUUGCUUCAUGGGACUCACCACUCCCCUGGCUCCUGUGAGAGCAGCUGCAGGGACAGGUGAUCAGGGUUUGUCUCAUUUAGAAGCUUCGCUAUUUUCUGCUCUGUCUCGUGCUGCAUCGCUGUCAUGAUGAUUCUGUUCCUCGUGUUUGUCCCCGUGCAGGUGAUCGUGACCGUCUGGCCCAAGGCCACAGAGACUGCCUGUGGUUGACUCAGCUCAGCAGUGACCACUGAACCUGCAAGAGGAGAGGAGAAGAGAGGUGUAAUCCCCAGAACAUUCCCACCACCAAGUCACCCAUGACGGUCACCAUCGUCUCCUGUGCUCUUCCCACCCCUGUUUUGAUCCCUCUCCCGCACCCUCCCCAGCUGAGUGUCUGUCAUUUGUAUUUUGCUGCUAGUUUUGUCUUUUUCCCCCCUGAUCCCUGGUUUGGUUUUCCUAUGCCCUCCUGUAAGAGAAACCAUCCGACAUCUUUCUCCUCUUUCUGACUUAUCGCACUGAGCAUGAUCAAAAAGGAAUGACCUCUUAAGGCAACAAUAACUAAGAGGCCCCAGGGAGCUAGUGCUGAGUGACAAUGCCAGUGCCAAGGCUGCACUCAAUAGUCACACGGGCAGUCUGGCUUCCCCAGUUCCAGAAGGAACAGGGAGCUGGUGGUCGCUUUGAACGGACAAAAGGCCGGGGAGUGUGCACAAAGUUCAUUAGGAGCAAAGCAGGACAACUUUGAAGCAGAAGCAGCAAAGCAAAGCUCCUGUUCCUGGGAGGGGACUCGAAUAUGAGUUGUCAUUGGCAGGAUCCCCAAGGCUGCCUUACUGCUGGGAUGGUAGUUGCUGGAUUUGUUCUUCCUUUGAUGGGGCUUUGUUUUGAAUUUUUUGUGUUUCUCAGCUGCUGUUCCCUGGCCUGGAUCUGUCCUGCUCUCUAGAGGUGGGUGCUGCACCCCCUUCCCUGGACUCUGUCUCCCCAUGUCCCUGAGCUGUGUCCUGACCUUCAUUUCCUAACUCAGUGGGACUCUUUUUUCCUAACCUAUCCCCUCUGAAAAGACACUGUGAGAUGAAAGAACCAGUCAGAAAGUAAUGCCUGGGUUAGGACUGGAGGGCGCUGGCGGGAGGGGGAGGCAUAUUCUUAAAGGUCAGCACGUGGGCCCCUUGGGCUAAGGGAACUGUUGGUAUCCAGGCCCUAAGGGUGGAUCUAGGAACCCACUCUUAUUCCCUUCUGGGACCCUGGAGGGUGGGAGGGUGUGGUUGUUGUAGAAAUUUACCCCUCCCCUGGGGCUCCUCACUAAGAUGGGGAACAGCUGUGGGGUAGAUCAGGUGACUGAGGCUCCUGGGUUGAGCAUCAGCAUCUACCACAUGCUGGUCAUGUCAGAAAGGCAGCCUGGCCUCCAAGGUCUGUAACCACAGUCACCUCCUGGGGUGGGACCCCACAUAGCCUUCAGGCCCCACCUGGGGUCUGUCCUGGCUGGCUGAGACUGCAGGGUCUUCCAGGAGACUGGGCUGGGGCCGAGCUGGACCAUGACAGAAAUCAGAAUCCAGCGUUCCUGGGGUUGGGGUCCCCAGCACCCUCAUUCUUUCUCUUCCUGCCAUCCUCCUGUGUACCCCAGGCGCACAUGCUCCCAUCAGGGCCUGUGGUUAAGAAUAUGUGUGUGUGGCUUCUGUCGUUGGCUGUUUGUCCAUUACUGAGUACAUGGAAGUUUCCUUGUUAAACAACCGUCCCCUUUGGAAGAGUGAUCACAGCUUGGUCUCAUUUUCCAAGUGGUGUUGGGUCCUUGUUGUGACAGCCCCGACACCAUUGACCUUGACACUCUAGGAUUUCACUACUCUUUUGUAUAAGAUGUGAGGCUUUAGAAAUCCAGACCUGGCUAAGAAACCCUGUUUUGGCUCCACGUGAUCUGAAGAUUCCCAGGGUCAUGGUCUUUGCACAGAGGGAGAGCUCUGGGAACUGAAUGGACAGGGGUUCUCCAGGGCAUGUGGAUUCUUAAUUCAAUGACCAGGGACAGCCCGUGACCAGACUGUGACCAGAGAAGGGAGAAUUACUUCACGCUGCAGAAGGUCUCUUAUGUGGGCACCGAUCGCCUUCCAGGGCCCUGGGUGUCCCGAGAAGUGUGCCUGCCCCUCCUGAGCAAAGUAGGUGCAGCCUGAGCUCACAGUCAGCCUGGAGGACGGAGAGGCAGGAACAGUGGUGAGGGUGUCCCUGAUGUGCCAGCAGAGAGGGUCAGCUCCCUGGGCACAGGCUCUAUGGCUCAUUUCCCAGGUGAUGCCCCCUGGAUCCUGGUCCCAUCAGUGUCCUGCAGCACACUAUGAUUCUGACCCUCAAAAUAUGGUCACUGCAACCUGGGGGAAGAUCUGGCUGUGCUGAGUUCCUCUGAAGCUGUUCUGUUUCCCAGACCCCAGGGCAGGUUGGUCCCACUGAGGAUCCUGGGCAGCCCAGCUUUGUUCUGGAGCUCCUGCCUGAAGCUCUGCUGCCCCCUGCUGGUGGAGGAGAGCUCAUGCCAGGAAGCUCCUUGCCAGUCACCCCAGAGCCCCUGUCCAAGGAGAGAGUGUUGAACAGAGUCCAGCCCUCCCCUGUGCCAGCUGUGAUCCCCUGGCCUCCGGGCAAGAUAGAAUACGGGGCACAGGGGGGCAGGCCAUGUCAGUUUUUUGAAGCACAUCCCACUUGUCAAGUGCCCUAGCUGGGGUGAUUUGUUCAUUUGCAAAUUUGCUGUCUGGAACCUGAGUGAUGCUGUAGGCACCCCUGCCUUCAUGUCAGCUCAGAUUCAGGAAGAAGCCUCCCCCCUCGGCAUGGAGAGGCUGAUCAUUACCAGGGCCACUGGUGCUUCCUGACCCGAAACUCAGUUGCACUCACCCCUCGUGAUUAUUUACCAGGGUUUUUAUCACCAUAAAUUUCCCAGAGUUCAUGUUGAAGUGUUUCUCCCUCAGCCUCGCCUGAACUGCCGCUUAUUUUUGUCUUUGUAUUUACUGUUGAUAUAUUCUCGCAGCCCAUACUUCGGUAUAGCUUUUCAAUUCAAUUGAUAGCCUCUGCUCUUAAUUGUGAUAUUUGAUUAUUUACAAUGAAAGUCGGUGUUAACAGAUUUUCAAUACACCAUGUUUUUUUUAAACAUGUCAUAUUAUUUCAAAAAUUUUCUCAUCUUUUUUUGCUUUUUCCUUUAUAUGCUUCCAUGUAAUUGAAUUGUAUUAUGAUUCCAAUUUAUCUGUGUCCUGUUUUUGCUUGUUACUGUAAUCAUCUUAUAAUUGUAAUUUA